ACCCUAGGUCAGGUAGGAUUACUUGUUAAGUUUAAGCAUAUGAAUAAGCAAAGGAAAAGAAACUUACCAGGAUUCUCCUAGUCACAACAAAUGAACCAAAAAAAGCCCAGCUUGAGAAUCGGGAACCCUUGGAGUCCAAAUUGUAGUUUAGUGAAGCGUUCUCAGUGGUGAACUACACCUAAGUCCCAUAAAAGGGGUGUUAGAGAGGGUGAGAGUCCUAUUGUGCUGGAUCCUAUCGCACCAUGGGACUCUAUCUACGAGUCAGGUUGUUUGGGACUGCAGCCCUAAUCGGGUGGUAAAUUUUAUCCAAGGCUAAAUAUGAGUGAGAGACCAAUAGUGAAGAAGUACCAUGAGGGAAAGAUGGAAAGGACUUUGGAAAAAGAGUCAAAGAGUGCUUGAAAUUAUUGAAAGGGAAAUGGAUGAGGGACGAUGAUGUGCCCAGUUAGAUGUGGAAUAGUGAGAGCCAGUCCAUUGAUUGGUGUAAGGCAUUGACUAACAUGUGUUGCAGUGGCUGCACAACCCUGGGCUUUCGAUAUGCCCAUGAAGACAUUGUCACUAUGAUCAUGGAAUGUAACACACAUCGUCUCAACAUGCCUUGACACUCACGUGCUCUUGGCAUCAGCCUGCGAGCUCUUGAAAUGUAAACCAAAGAGUGUGACAUGUCUGCAAGUUAACAUCCCAGAUAACCUAUAAGGUGCAAGCAAGCUUAUUGGUGGGAUCCUUCAUAGGUGCACCACCGACUGACCUUGAUCUUCUGAGAAAGGUUUGAGUGUGAGCUUACCUGUUGAGGUGAACUAUGCCUGAGUGGGGCUAAGCUAGGGGAAACUCUAGUGGAAGCCCAUAAUGAUACUGAUGUGUAAAUCAUUCAUCUAACUUGGGUAUAAGGGUGAAAGACUAAUUGAACCAUCUAGUAGCUAGUUCCCUCUAAAGUUUCCUUUAGAAUAGAUGGAGCCCUUUGCGAGUUCUAUAAGGUAAAACCAUGGUUAGAGGCAUUGGGGCACAAUGCCCUUAACCUAUUUCAAACUUUAAAUAAGUAUAAUGAUGUAGCUAUUUCAUUGAGAUGCUCUAUGGAAUCGAGACCUCCAAGUGGGAAAUUUUUUGUAAGUAGAACUAGCGACACAAGAUGAACUAAAAGUUGGGUUAUAGUGCCUAAUUGUGCGCUAAACUAGAACCCUCAAAGGUGUUGGUCGAUUAAGACAGUAAGGCGGUGAUCAUGGAAGUCAAAAUCCUCUAAAGAAUGUGUAACAACCCACCUAUCAAAUCAACUAGCCUCGAAAAUAAAUGGCGCUUAAGCAUGUGACCUAUACUAGAUCAUCGAGGUUAAGGCCAAGCCCCAAAAAGUAAGAUGGUAUGAUGGUUGUUGUAAAACUCAAUGCGCAAGCUUAUGUAAAGAGACUGUUAGUGUAGAUCUUGGUGGUAGUAGCAAAUAUUCAAAUGAGAACUUUGAAGGCCAAAGAAGGGAAAGGUUUCAUGUGAACACCACUUGCAUAUAGGUUAGCCAAUCCUUAGAGAUGGGUCCAACAUGAGCUUUGAAAGGAAAUUGAGUUAAAAUUCCUAAACUAGGACACAAUGUCUAAUAGCAACAUUAGGGAUUCCAAAGACAUCGAUGAGGGCCUCAGGAAGAGUUAUCUUUUCUAUUUAAUGACCUGCUUACACUAGAAACAACUCAAUUGGAGGUAGGUUCCAUUGGCCAAAAAAGUAACGUAUGUCAUAUUAUGUCAUGUUUACCCUAGCAGCCCUUGAAAAUAUGGAGGAGUGAGUGCUAUUCAUGCCCGGUUGUACUCAUAAUUGAAUGGGUUUCCAAAUUGAACAAGCUCUAGUCGAUGGAACAAUGUAGGUAAGGGAAGUCAGCAAAGUGGAUCUCUAACCUUGGGAAAAGGAUUGGCUCUAAGGGUUGGGCAUAGGGGUCCCAGUCUUGAACCUUUUGGCUACCAAUGCACUACUUGAGCUGCCCUCAUGGCAAAAGCAAUUUGAUGCAUGUAGGCUAGGGGAUGGACUAGGAAUGGCUCCCUCAGGGGCCUUUCCCAUGUGAUGAAUUGUCAACUCAAAAUUGGUACAAGCUAGGGGAAUUCUACUGUUUAAUUAAAACAAAGCAUCACUAUGGUCCCUAGGGAUGCUCACUCAAUGUGAUUUUUGCCUGGUGCUCUAAAUGUCAAAGUGAAGAAAUUCAACCAAUCGUGGGUAAACGAUAGGAGUAAUGUGACUAUUUUGAGGUAGCCAAAUGCCUCUACAUCUAAUUAGUGACACACAUGAGUGGAUUAACAAGAUUCCCAUUGUCAUUAUCGACUAUCCAGCAAAACCACAACCAAGGGAACAGGCUUAGCAGAACCAGUAGGAAAGAAGACCUAAUUGAGCUUGACUCUAGUCUAACUUUGUGAAAUGACUUGAAAGGUGUAGGAUAAGUGGGAGCCCUCUGAUGAAAUUGAAAUACCAUUUCUUUUAAUGUUAUUUUACUUAUUUCAUGAAUCGAAGGUGGGGCACAACCCUUUCUUUUGGACAUAAGGCCAGCCUCGAUCGAUCAAUCCAAGCAGAAGACAUUGUCAGGUGGGGAGUUUGCAGGGGCAGCACAUCUAUUAAAAGAUAACGUAGGUGUCCUAUGAUAAUCUCAAUGAAAACAAGAAUCUCAUGUGGAAUAAAAGGGAAAAGGCUCAUUUCAUUUUGAUUUCUAGUACAAAUAUGAACCUUGAAAGCAUGGCCUAUCGAUCUUUUAGACCUUUGAAAUUUAAAGCUAGAGGCAUUAGAAAAGUUACCAUAGGGACAAUUAGCUUAUGGCAAUGAAGUAUUCAUUAGCGACAUUGCUUGUUGAUCCUUCGAUGUCAGCUCUUCCCAUCAUUAUGAAGCAAAAUUCUUUAAAUGUUGUAUUGGUCACCCACCAAUAUGAAAUGUGAGCUAGGUUUAGACCAUUGUGAGAUAGGUUAGUUUUACCCUACUAAUAGCAAUGUUAUAAUAGUAAUUCAACCUAGAAUGAGAAGAACUAUUGAUUCACAUAAUUGGUCAUCGUACUUGGUUGAAAAGCUAGGGGCAAGAAGCUAUCAUGCGCUGGAUUAUGAUUAAAUGCCUCUAAGUCAAAAUCUAGGCUAGAAGUGAUACAUACGCCCAUCAUCCAAUUAUGGACCUACAGCAUGGAUGCAUGGCCCCUAAGGGCAGUGUCAUAGGUGCAACCCAUGCUACAGACAAGCUACACAGGCUUCAUUAGAGCGUAAUUCCUACU
rnacentral:rRNA from 1 species